rnacentral:rRNA from 1 species
AGAGUUUGAUUAUGGCUCAGGAUGAACGCUAGCUACAGGCUUAACACAUGCAAGUCGAGGGGCAGCGAGAGAAAGCUUGCUUCUUGUCGGCGACCGGCGCACGGGUGAGUAACGCGUAUCCAACUUCCCCUUAGUAGGGCAUAGCCCGUAGAAAUGCGGAUUAAUACCCUAUGUUGUUCGAUGCGGACAUCUAAGUUGAACCAAAGGUUUACCGCUAAGGGAUGGGGAUGCGUCUGAUUAGGCAGCAGGCGGGGUAACGGCCCACCUGGCCGACGAUCAGUAGGGGUUCUGAGAGGAAGGUCCCCCACAUUGGAACUGAGACACGGUCCAAACUCCUACGGGAGGCAGCAGUGAGGAAUAUUGGUCAAUGGGCGCGAGCCUGAACCAGCCAAGUAGCGUGCCAGGAUGACGGCUCUAUGGGUUGUAAACUGCUUUUAUGCGGGGAUAAAGUGCGGCACGUAUGCCGUUUUGUAGGUACCGCAUGAAUAAGGACCGGCUAAUUCCGUGCCAGCCGCCGC